GGCAUUGUGCCAGAGUGGUUAAUGGGUAAGACUCGAACUUCAACGUUAUCUUAUGGCCUCGGCCGCACAGGUUCGAAUCCUGUCAAUGUCG